rnacentral:rRNA from 1 species
GCUAAGAAUAUUCCGCAAUGGACGAAAGUCUGACGGAGCGACGCCGCGUGGAUGAAGAAGGCCGAAAGGUUGUAAAAUCCUUUUGCUGAUGAAGAAUAAGUGGUGUAGGGAAUGACAUCAUGAUGACAUUAGUCGGUGAAUAAGCCCCGGCUAACUACGUGCCAGCAGCCGCGGUAACACGUAGGGGGCAAGCGUUGUUCGGAAUUAUUGGGCGUAAAGGGCAUGUAGGCGGUUUGGUAAGCCUGGUGUGAAAUCCUGCAGCUUAACUGUAGAAUUGCAUUGGGUACUGCCAGACUUGAAUCACAGAGGGGAAACUAGAAUUCCAGGUGUAGGGGUGGAAUCUGUAGAUAUCUGGAAGAAUACCGGUGGCGAAGGCGGGUUUCUAGCUGAUGAUUGACGCUGAGGUGCGAAAGUGCGGGGAGCAAACAGGAUUAGAUACCCUUGUAGUCC